rnacentral:rRNA from 1 species
AGUGAACGCUGGUGGCGUGCCUAAUACAUGCAAGUCGAACGAAGUGGCGCACGGGUGAGUAAUAUAUAGUUAAUCUGCCCUACACAGAGGAACAACAGUUGGAAACGACUGCCAAUACAUCAUAGUGUAGGAUGAGACUAUAUCGUAUCAGCUAGUUGGUAAGGUAAUGGCUUACCAAGGCUAUGACGCGUAACUGGUCUGAGAGGAUGAUCAGUAAGAUUGAAACUGAGACACGGUCCAAACUCCUACGGGAGGCAGCAGUAAGGAACAUUGCGCAAUGGAGGAAACACUGACGAAGCAACGCCGCAAGGAGGAUGACACUUAUCGGAGCGUAAACUCCUUGUAUCAGGAAAGCGGUACCUGAUGAAUAAGCACCUGCUAACUCCGUGCCAGCAGCCGCGGGAAUUC